UACGUAGGGGGCAAGCGUUGUCCGGAAUCAUUGGGCGUAAAGCGCGCGUAGGCGGCCCGGUAAGUCCGCUCUGAAAGUCCAGGGCUCAACCCUGGAAAGCGGGUGGAUACUGCCGGGCUAGAAUCCGGAAGAGGCGAGUGGAAUUCCCGGUGUAGCGGUGAAAUGCGCAGAUAUCGGGAGGAACACCAAUGGCGAAGGCAGCUUGCUGGGCCACUCCUGACACUGAGGUACGAAAGCGUGGGGAGCGAACAGG
rnacentral:rRNA from 1 species